AUGCUGAGCUAGACCCUGCGGUGAUCAGCAGUCACAUUGCACAUCUUUCUGAUGUUGCCCUUUCAAUUACAAAUGUAUGAAAGUCACACUUACUUUUUAUUCCAGGUCAGUGUUGAUGGACAGGAUAUUAGGACCAUAAACGUAAGGUUUCUACGGGAAAUCAUUGGUGUGGUGAGUCAGGAACCUGUAUUGUUUGCCACCACGAUAGCUGAAAACAUUCGCUAUGGCCGUGAAAAUGUCACCAUGGAUGAGAUUGAGAAAGCUGUCAAGGAAGCCAAUGCCUAUGACUUUAUCAUGAAACUGCCUCAUAAAUUUGACACCCUGGUUGGAGAGAGAGGGGCCCAGUUGAGUGGUGGGCAGAAGCAGAGGAUCGCCAUUGCACGUGCCCUGGUUCGCAACCCCAAGAUCCUCCUGCUGGAUGAGGCCACGUCAGCCUUGGACACAGAAAGCGAAGCAGUGGUUCAGGUGGCUCUGGAUAAGGCCAGAAAAGGUCGGACCACCAUUGUGAUAGCUCAUCGUUUGUCUACAGUUCGUAAUGCUGACGUCAUCGCUGGUU
rnacentral:sRNA from 1 species